GGGUUGUGAGGUUAAGCGACUAAGCGUACACGGUGGAUGCCCUGGCAGUCAGAGGCGAUGAAGGACGUGCUAAUCUGCGAAAAGCGUCGGUAAGGUGAUAUGAACCGUUAUAACCGGCGAUGUCCGAAUGGGGAAACCCAGUGUGAUUCGUCACACUAUCGUUAACUGAAUACAUAGGUUAACGAGGCGAACCGGGGGAACUGAAACAUCUAAGUACCCCGAGGAAAAGAAAUCAACCGAGAUUCCCCCAGUAGCGGCGAGCGAACGGGGAGCAGCCCAGAGUCUGAAUCAGCUUGUGUGUUAGUGGAACGGUCUGGAAAGUCCGACGGUACAGGGUGAUAGUCCCGUACACCAAAAUGCACAGGCUGUGAACUCGAAGAGUAGGGCGGGACACGUGGUAUCCUGUCUGAAUAUGGGGGGACCAUCCUCCAAGGCUAAAUACUCCUGACUGACCGAUAGUGAACCAGUACCGUGAGGGAAAGGCGAAAAGAACCCCGGCGAGGGGAGUGAAAAAGAACCUGAAACCGUGUACGUACAAGCAGUGGGAGCACCUUCGGGUGUGACUGCGUACCUUUUGUAUAAUGGGUCAGCGACUUAUAUUCUGUAGCAAGGUUAACCGUAUAGGGGAGCCGCAGGGAAACCGAGUCUUAACUGGGCGUUAAGUUGCAGGGUAUAGACCCGAAACCCGGUGAUCUAGCCAUGGGCAGGUUGAAGGUUGGGUAACACUAACUGGAGGACCGAACCGACUAAUGUUGAAAAAUUAGCGGAUGACUUGUGGCUGGGGGUGAAAGGCCAAUCAAACCGGGAGAUAGCUGGUUCUCCCCGAAAGCUAUUUAGGUAGCGCCUCGUGAACUCAUCUUCGGGGGUAGAGCACUGUUUCGGCUAGGGGGUCAUCCCGACUUACCAACCCGAUGCAAACUACGAAUACCGAAGAAUGUUAUCACGGGAGACACACGGCGGGUGCUAACGUCCGUCGUGAAGAGGGAAACAACCCAGACCGCCAGCUAAGGUCCCAAAGUCAUGGUUAAGUGGGAAACGAUGUGGGAAGGCACAGACAGCCAGGAUGUUGGCUUAGAAGCAGCCAUCAUUUAAAGAAAGCGUAAUAGCUCACUGGUCGAGUCGGCCUGCGCGGAAGAUGUAACGGGGCUAAACCAUGCACCGAAGCUGCGGCAGCGACACUAUGUGUUGUUGGGUAGGGGAGCGUUCUGUAAGCCUGCGAAGGUGUGCUGUGAGGCAUGCUGGAGGUAUCAGAAGUGCGAAUGCUGACAUAAGUAACGAUAAAGCGGGUGAAAAGCCCGCUCGCCGGAAGACCAAGGGUUCCUGUCCAACGUUAAUCGGGGCAGGGUGAGUCGACCCCUAAGGCGAGGCCGAAAGGCGUAGUCGAUGGGAAACAGGUUAAUAUUCCUGUACUUGGUGUUACUGCGAAGGGGGGACGGAGAAGGCUAUGUUAGCCGGGCGACGGUUGUCCCGGUUUAAGCAUGUAGGCUGGUUAUCCAGGCAAAUCCGGAUAAUCAAGGCUGAGGUGUGAUGACGAGGCACUACGGUGCUGAAGUAACAAAUGCCCUGCUUCCAGGAAAAGCCUCUAAGCAUCAGGUAACAUCAAAUCGUACCCCAAACCGACACAGGUGGUCAGGUAGAGAAUACCAAGGCGCUUGAGAGAACUCGGGUGAAGGAACUAGGCAAAAUGGUGCCGUAACUUCGGGAGAAGGCACGCUGGUGUGUAGGUGAAGCCCCUGCGGGUGGAGCUGAGACCAGUCGAAGAUACCAGCUGGCUGCAACUGUUUAUUAAAAACACAGCACUGUGCAAACACGAAAGUGGACGUAUACGGUGUGACGCCUGCCCGGUGCCGGAAGGUUAAUUGAUGGGGUUAUCCGUAAGGAGAAGCUCUUGAUCGAAGCCCCGGUAAACGGCGGCCGUAACUAUAACGGUCCUAAGGUAGCGAAAUUCCUUGUCGGGUAAGUUCCGACCUGCACGAAUGGCGUAAUGAUGGCCAGGCUGUCUCCACCCGAGACUCAGUGAAAUUGAACUCGCUGUGAAGAUGCAGUGUACCCGCGGCAAGACGGAAAGACCCCGUGAACCUUUACUAUAGCUUGACACUGAACAUUGAGCCUUGAUGUGUAGGAUAGGUGGGAGGCUUUGAAGCGUGGACGCCAGUCUGCGUGGAGCCAACCUUGAAAUACCACCCUUUAAUGUUUGAUGUUCUAACGUUGGCCCCUUACCGGGGUUGCGGACAGUGUCUGGUGGGUAGUUUGACUGGGGCGGUCUCCUCCCAAAGCGUAACGGAGGAGCACGAAGGUUAGCUAAUCCUGGUCGGACAUCAGGAGGUUAGUGCAAUGGCAUAAGCUAGCUUGACUGCGAGCGUGACGGCGCGAGCAGGUGCGAAAGCAGGUCAUAGUGAUCCGGUGGUUCUGAAUGGAAGGGCCAUCGCUCAACGGAUAAAAGGUACUCCGGGGAUAACAGGCUGAUACCGCCCAAGAGUUCAUAUCGACGGCGGUGUUUGGCACCUCGAUGUCGGCUCAUCACAUCCUGGGGCUGAAGUAGGUCCCAAGGGUAUGGCUGUUCGCCAUUUAAAGUGGUACGCGAGCUGGGUUUAGAACGUCGUGAGACAGUUCGGUCCCUAUCUGCCGUGGGCGCUGGAGAAUUGAGGGGGGCUGCUCCUAGUACGAGAGGACCGGAGUGGACGCAUCACUGGUGUUCGGGUUGUCAUGCCAAUGGCACUGCCCGGUAGCUAAAUGCGGAAGAGAUAAGUGCUGAAAGCAUCUAAGCACGAAACUUGCCCCGAGAUGAGUUCUCCCUGAGACUUUAAGUCUCCUGAAGGAACGUUGAAGACGACGACGUUGAUAGGCCGGGUGUGUAAGCGCAGCGAUGCGUUGAGCUAACCGGUACUAAUGAACCGUGAGGCUUAACCUUACAACGCCGAAGCUGUU
rnacentral:rRNA from 1 species